UACGUAGGUGGCAAGCGUUGUCCGGAUUUACUGGGCGUAAAGAGCGCGCAGGCGGUCGUUCAAGUCGCGUGUGAAAGCCCCCGGCUCAACUGGGGAGGGUCACGCGAUACUGAUCGACUCGAAGGCAGGAGAGGGUAGUGGAAUUCCCGGUGUGGUGGUGAAAUGCGUAGAUAUCGGGAGGAACACCAGUGGCGAAGGCGACUACCUGGCCUGUUUCUUGACGCUGAGGCGCGAAAGCUAGGGGAGCAAACGGG
rnacentral:rRNA from 1 species